UUAAAAGCGUUAAAGCUUAAUAUUACUUCAAAAGAAUUCUUAAACUAAAUAUGAACCCAAAUUAACUACUGAGUGACCCCAUAAAAAUAUGGAAUCCAUUAUGUUAGAACUAGUAACUAGAAUUAAUUAAUUCUCCAAAAUGUAAGCAUAAACCAAUAUGGAUAAUCCACUGGUAAUUAACGAAAAUGAAUGAAUUACAAUACCCCACCCCGAAAAACAUGUAAUAACUAAUCGUCAAUCUUACACUAGAACAUUAAUGGAAAGAUUAAAAGAAGGAGAAGGAACUCGGCAAAUCUCGGCCCCGCCUGUUUACCAAAAACAUCGCCUCUUGCUUAAUAUAAGAGGUCCAGCCUGCCCAGUGAAAAUUUAACGGCCGCGGUACCCUGACCGCGCGAAGGUAGCAUAAUCACUCGUUCUUUAAAUAGGGACUUGUAUCAACGGCAUCACGAGGGUCGCACUGUCUCCUCCUUCCAAUCAGUGAACCUGAUCUCUCCGUGAAGAAGCGGGGAUAAAAAUAUAAGACGAGAAGACCCCAUGGAGCUUUAAACCUAAAGCAAUCUAAUCAAAUAAACCCCCAUAAAAAUUUAAAUAUGUGCACGGUUUUAGGUUGGGGUGACCGCGGAGUAAAAAUAAACCUCCACAACGAAAAAUAAAUUUUAUUCAAGAGCUACUACUCUAAAAAUUAGCACACUAACGAACAAUGACCCGAUAAUCGAUCAAUGAACCAAGUUACCCUGGGGAUAACAGCGCAAUCUACUUCAAGAGCCCAUAUCGACAAGUAGGCUUACGACCUCGAUGUUGGAUCAGGGUAUCCCAGUGGUGCAACCGCUACUAAUGGGUUCGUUUGUUCAACGAUUAAACCC
rnacentral:rRNA from 1 species